CUAAACAAAUAAAGCCUGUUCCUCAUAAUGAAAAUACCUUCUUCGGCAUGUUAAAAAACAAGAAAGCAAUUAGCCAAAUAUUUAAAGCAAAAGCAGAUAUUUGAGUAAGAUAUCUUUGAGGUUGUGAGCAUUUGAAUUUCCCUUACUCUUUUACUGUCAAAAGCAACCUUUUCAACAUGCACACUACUUUGGUUUCCAGACUAGUAAGACACAGAAGAGACCCAAAAGCCUUUGUGUAAUUUCAGUCAGUGAUCUACCUUGUUAUUGUCACAAUUCAGAGCAUAUACACCUGGCAAAAUUACAAUAGUGAGAAUACCUCAUCACUGAAAUAGUUUACCAAAGCAUGUAGUGAGCUCUCUGUCACUCGAAAACUUCAAAUAAAGGUUGAUUGUCUUUCUAAAAGAUUUGUUGCAAUUUAACCAGAAAUCAUAGGCAUUAAGUACAACUUUUAUGCUCUGUUUUGCAGAAAAUCAAGACAGGAUGAGCAUAAUGAUGUCUGCUAGCCCUAAGAAACCCAGUCAAUCUUAUGAAGAAAUAUUCCCUCCAUUUUCAGACGUCAGAUGCCAAACCUCAGGUUGCGGAAGGUUAUUAGACCAUCUCCUAGCAUUUAUAAGUUGACUUUUGAGAAGUUGAUGAGGGAAGACAACUAACCAUCCAGAU
rnacentral:lncRNA from 1 species